CGGACGGGUGAGUAAUGUAUGGGGAUCUGCCUGAUGGCGGGGGAUAACUACUGGAAACGGUAGCUAAUACCGCAUAAUGUCUGCGGACCAAAGCGGGGGACCUCCGGGCCUCGCGCCAUCAGGUGAACCCAUAUGGGAUUAGCUAGUAGGUAAGGUAACGGCUUACCUAGGCGACGAUCCCUAGCUGGUCUGAGAGGAUGAUCAGCCACACUGGGACUGAGACACGGCCCAG
rnacentral:rRNA from 1 species